rnacentral:lncRNA from 1 species
UGACAACAGUGGUUCUCAAAUAGUUCCCAAACUAGCAGCAUCAACGUUACCUAGGGAGUUUAUAGAAACACAAAUUCUUGAACAACCACCCCAACCUUGUGCACACAAGGCCCUACAUGGGGCUGGCAGAUCUGAGGUCAUAGAGCAAAAAGAGCUUGCCUGUGACCAGGGUGGGGACCAGGGACAGCUGUCCCUAUGCUGCUGCAUUGUGACAUGGAAUUCAGAGUGUCUUUUGAAUCUUGUCUUCCAGCUGUUGUGAAGGUUGGAUUCUGUCUUGUUUUCAGAUCAUGCAAAUGUCUUCUCCCAGCCUGCUGUCCUUCUGUUAACAGUGUCUGA